CCAACGCUCCCGCAGUCUCUCAGCGAGCCGAGAUCAGCGAUUGUCAGUUCGGAACGUGGCUUUUAAAAAUGCGUUUUUAAAUAGUGUCUUGAAGAAGUGGAGCAGAGAUCUGCACAACUUAAGUGAGGCAUCCCCAUCCUAUCUGCCUGCUCAUCCUCUUUGGUUCCCCCCCCAACUUCAUCUCUGCGACACCCUUCCCCCCCCAAAAAAACCCCAAGAAGUCACUCCCGGGUUCUGUCUGCAGAAAGCCAGGGUGAGAAGCGGGCAAGGCGAGAGAGCGACCUCGGUCGUGGGCAAGUAGCUUGUUUUUACGUCCUUCAAUAAAAAUUUUAUGAGGAUCA